CGUAGGUGGCAAGCGUUGUCCGGAAUUAUUGGGCGUAAAGCGCGUGUAGGCGGUUUCUUAAGUCUGAUGUGAAAGCCCUGGGCUCAACCCAGGAAGUGCAUUGGAUACUGGGAGACUUGAAUACGGGAGAGGGUAGUGGAAUUCCUAGUGUAGGAGUGAAAUCCGUAGAUAUUAGGAGGAACACCGGUGGCGAAGGCGGCUACCUGGACCGAUAUUGACGCUGAGACGCGAAAGCGUGGGGAGCAAAACAGGAUUAGAUACCCUGGUAGUCCACGCCGUAAACGAUGAGAACUAGGUGUUGCGGGUAUUGACCCCUGCAGUGCCGCAGCUAACGCAUUAAGUUCUCCGCCUGGGAAGUACGGUCGCAAGACUA
rnacentral:rRNA from 1 species